rnacentral:rRNA from 1 species
ACACUCCUGCGGGAGGCAGCAGUGGGGAAUAUUGGACAAUGGGCGCAAGCCUGAUCCAGCCAUGCCGCGUGAGUGAUGAAGGCCCUAGGGUUGUAAAGCUCUUUCACCGGUGAAGAUAAUGACGGUAACCGGAGAAGAAGCCCCGGCUAACUUCGUGCCAGCAGCCGCGGUAAUACGAAGGGGGCUAGCGUUGUUCGGAUUUACUGGGCGUAAAGCGCACGUAGGCGGACUAUUAAGUCAGGGGUGAAAUCCCGGGGCUCAACCCCGGAACUGCCUUUGAUACUGGUAGUCUUGAGUGCGAGAGAGGUGAGUGGAAUUCCGAGUGGAGAGGUGAAAUUCGUAGAUAUUCGGAGGAACACCAGUGGCGAAGGCGGCUCACUGGCUCGAUACUGACGCUGAGGUGCGAAAGCGUGGGGAGCAAACAGGAUUAGAAACCCUUGUAGUCCCA